UACGAAGGGGGCUAGCGUUGUUCGGACUCACUGGGCGUAAAGCGCACGUAGGCGGCUCCGUAAGUUGGGGGUGAAAUCCCGAGGCUCAACCUCGGAAUUGCCUUCAAGACUGCAGGGCUUGAGUUCGGGAGAGGUGAGUGGAAUUCCCAGUGUAGAGGUGAAAUUCGUAGAGAUUGGGAAGAACACCAGUGGCGAAGGCGGCUCACUGGCCCGUAACUGACGCUGAGGUGCGAAAGCGUGGGGAGCAAACAGG
rnacentral:rRNA from 1 species